AUUGAACGCUGGCGGCAUGCCUUACACAUGCAAGUCGAACGGUAACGCGGGGCAACCUGGCGACGAGUGGCGAACGGGUGAGUAAUAUAUCGGAACGUGCCCAGUUGUGGGGGAUAACUGCUCGAAAGAGCAGCUAAUACCGCAUACGACCUGAGGGUGAAAGCGGGGGAUCGCAAGACCUCGCGCAAUUGGAGCGGCCGAUAUCAGAUUAGGUAGUUGGUGGGGUAAAGGCCUACCAAGCCGACGAUCUGUAGCUGGUCUGAGAGGACGACCAGCCACACUGGGACUGAGACACGGCCCAGACUCCUACGGGAGGCAGCAGUGGGGAAUUUUGGACAAUGGGGGCAACCCUGAUCCAGCCAUGCCGCGUGCGGGAAGAAGGCCUUCGGGUUGUAAACCGCUUUUGUCAGGGAAGAAAUCCUUUGGGUUAAUACCUCGGAGGGAUGACGGUACCUGAAGAAUAAGCACCGGCUAACUACGUGCCAGCCGCCGCUGUAAAAC
rnacentral:rRNA from 1 species